rnacentral:rRNA from 1 species
CCUACGGGAGGCAGCAGUGAGGAAUAUUGGUCAAUGGGCGUAAGCCUGAACCAGCCAAGUCGCGUGCGGGAUGACGGUCCUAUGGAUCGUAAACCUCUUUUAUACGGGAAUAAAGUGCGGUACGUGUCCCGUUUUGUAUGUACCUUAUGAAUAAGGAUCGGCUAACUCCGUGCCAGCAGCCGCGGUAAUCCGGAAGGUCCGGGCGUUAUCCGGAUUUAUUGGGUUUAAAGGGAGCGUAGGCCGGUCGUUAAGCGUGCCGUGAAAUUUUGUGGCUCAACCCUGAGAGUGCGGCGCGAACUGGAGAGCUUGAGUGCGCGGAAGGCAGGCGGAAUUCGUGGUGUAGCGGUGAAAUGCUUAGAUAUGACGAAGAACCCCGAUUGCGAAGGCAGCCUGCUGCAGCGUAACUGACGCUGAAGCUCGAAAGCGCGGGUAUCGAACAGGAUUAGAUACCCUGGUAGUC